AAUGUUUACAAAUUUUAGCCUACUAUGUGUAGCAAGGAAUGUAAAUUGAUUAUACUAUGAUGUGUGCUUUUAUUUUCUGUCUGAACAACUUUUCUUCUAGAAGGGAGAUUUAUGAAAAUAACAAUAUCAAAUUUUCUGGAUAUUGAAAAUACAGAUUAUAAUAUUACAGUAUUAUAUCACCAAUGAAAAAACAAUAAAUAAUUGUUAUUGUGUAUUCAAUAAUUUCCUAAAAAAGGAAAUUAA